rnacentral:rRNA from 1 species
CAGUCGCCACGGUAAUACGAAGGGUGCAAGCGUUAAUCGGGAUUACUGGGCGUAAAGCGUGCGUAGGCGGUUUCUUAAGUCUGCUGUGAAAUCCCCGGGCUCAACCUGGGAAUGGCAGUGGAUACUGGGAGGCUAGAGUGUGUCAGAGGAUGGUGGAAUUCCCGGUGUAGCGGUGAAAUGCGUAGAGAUCGGGAGGAACACCAGUGGCGAAGGCGGCCAUCUGGGACAACACUGACGCUGAGGCACGAAAGCGUGGGGAGCAAACAGGAUUAGAUACCCGCGUAGUCCCUGUCUCUUAUAC